CUCACUAGAUUUUCCAUGGUGAUCAUUUUGUAACACAUAGAAAUAUCAAACCACUAUGUUGUGCACCAGGAACCAACAUAGUGUUGCAGGUCCAUUAUCCUUCAAAAAACAAACAAACCCACAGGAAAAGAGAUCAGACCUGUGGUUACCAAAGUGGG